rnacentral:rRNA from 1 species
UACGUAGGGUGCAAGCGUUGUCCGGAAUUAUUGGGCGUAAAGAGCUCGUAGGCGGCUUGUCGCGUCGGCUGUGAAAACCUGGGGCUCAACCCCGGGCCUGCAGCCGAUACGGGCAAGCUAGAAUUCGGUAGGGGAGACUGGAAUUCCUGGUGUAGCGGUGAAAUGCGCAGAUAUCAGGAGGAACACCGGUGGCGAAGGCGGGACUCUGGGCCGAUACUGACGCUGAGGAGCGAAAGCGUGGGGAGCGAACAGG